AAAUAGUGCCAAAGAAUGCUGCUGGGCAGUAGUGGGUCAUUUGCCAGAACGACGAGAUUGAAUCUUGCUAGUCUAAUUCUGUUUGCACUUUCGUUGAGGAUACACUAGGGAUAAAACUGCACACCUUGUAAAAAUGGCCGAUUUAUCCAAAAGUGAAGUAGACCGCGUCAACUUUGUGUGGUCUAUCUACGACAGUACAAACGAAGGAGUCGAUGCAUACUACAUUGGAGACCUUCUCCGUGCCUUAGAAUUGAACCCGACUUUGGCCACCAUAGAAAAGAUGGGAGGCACCAAGAAGAAGGGCGAAAAGAAAAUCAUGGUUGAUGAAUUCUAUCCCAUUUAUUCACAAGUGUCAAAGGACAAAGAUCAAGGUGUGUAUGAAGAUUUUAUUGAAUGUUUGAAAUUGUACGACAAAGCUGAAGAUGGUCACAUGAUGGGCGGAGAAUUGACCCACAUUCUUCUGUCUUUAGGAGAAAAAUUAACAGAUCAAGAACUCGAUGUAGUCGUCAAGGACUGCAUGGACCCAGAAGACGACGACGGUAUGAUCCCUUACGUUCCGUUCGUAAAAAAAGUGAUGAUCCGCCUGAGAGACAUGAAAUGAAUUCCAUUUUAACCGUGUUAAAUAAAUAUAAACAUAACCUUUAAAAAUAUACCACACAAUAUUAAGUUGAUUACCUACCAUCAUUUUCCAUUUUUAGCUCGAGUAUGCGAUAAGCCCGUACCAGAUGACGAAAACCCAUUCAACAAAUAAUUUGACAGAAUACGGUCGUCUUCAUUAUCGCAUUAAUAUUUAAUUGUUUUAUAAAAAGCGCAAUUUGCAAUAUUUGUAAAAAUUUAAGCUCCACAAUUAUAUAAUAUAUGAUUUUAUUAUGUAUAGGAACAACAGAUAAUAUAUCGAAAUGUUAUUUAUUUUA